ensembl:lncRNA
UAUAGAGACUCCUAGAGAUGUCUCAGUCCACCAUUAAAACAGAGGACCAGAAGACCUGAAGACACACAUCUAAAGAGACUCCUAGAGAUGUCUCAGUCCACCACUAAAACAGCCAACAGAGGACCAGAAGACCUGAAGACAUACAUCUAUAGAGACUCCUAGAGAUGUCUCAGUCCACCACUAAAACAGAGGACCAGAAGACACAUCUAAAGAGACUCCUAGGGAUGUCAUGCAGAAAUUUGAAGGAUAGCCUACAUUUACAAAGGAGCUACCUGAACUAAUGGAUGUGGAUCAAGAACCAACAGCCCAACAGAAGUGAUUGUUAUAGAUAAUGAACCAACACCCCAACAGAAGUGAUUGUUAUAGAGGAUCAAGAACCAACACCCUAACAGAAGUGAUUGUUAUAGAGGAUCAAGAACCAACACCCCAACAGAAGUGAUUGUUAUAGAUGACGAAGAAGCAACAUGAAUGGAUUGAAGAGCUCUUUACGGAUACGGUAGGCCUGUAUUAUAGUUAUUACUUUUAAAGACUAUGUUAAAAACAAUUUCCAAUCAAAUGUAUUAAUAUAGCCCUUGGUAUAUCAGCUGAUAUCUCAAAGUGCUGUACAGAAACCCAGCUUAAAACCCCAAACAGCAAGCAAUGCAGGUGUAGAAGCACGGUGGCUAGGAAAAACUCCCUUGAAAGGCCGAAACCUAGAGAGGAACCAGGCUAUGUGGGGUGGCCAGUCCUCUUCUGGCUGUGCUGGGUGGAGAUUAUAACAGAACAUGGCCAAGAUGUUCAAAUGUUCAUAAAUGACCAGCAUGGUCGAAUAAUAAUAAGGCAGAACAGUUGAAACUGGAGCAGCAGCACAGUCAGGUGGAAGUUGAAACUGGAGCAGCAGCACGGCCAGGAGGACUGGGGACAGCAGAGUCAUCAUGUCAGGUAGUCCUGAGGCAUGGUCCUAGGGCUCAGGUCCUCCGAGAGAGAGAAAGAAAGAGAGAAAGAGAGAAUUAGAGAGCACACUUAAAUUCACACAGGACACCGAAUAGGACAGGAGAAGUACUCCAGAUAUAACAGACUGACCCUAGCCCCCCGACACAUAAACUACUGCAGCAUAAAUACUGGAGGCUGAGACAGGAGGGGUCAGGAGACACUGUGGCCCCAUCCGAGGACACCCCUGGACAGGGCCAAACAGGAAGGAUAUAACCCCACCCACUUUGCCAAAGCACAGCCCCCACACCACUAGAGGGAUAUCUUCAACCACCAACUUACCAUCCUGAGACAAGGCCGAGUAUAUCCCACAAAAAUAUCCGCCACGGCACAACCCAAGGGGGGGGCG